rnacentral:lncRNA from 1 species
UUUAAGUGCAUUUUGUAUCCACAACUCCUCUUAAAGUAGGGACACGUUUUAAAUCAGAUUUUCUAAAAUUUUAUAGUACUUAAUGGUAUAGAGCCUGCCUUUUGUAUAUUUGGAUUCAAAUGCUUUUUGAGGUUUCCUUAUUUAUGUAUUUUUUUUCUAUUGCAAAUGAAAUCUUUACUUUAUCCUUAAUUCAUUUGUCUUUUAGAAGAAAACUUUUGUUAAAGAUAAAUCAUAUAAUCUCUGCUUUAAACAACCAUCGAAACAUUGUAAUAAAUCAUAAUUUAAAGAAUUAAGUUGAGAUUUUGUAAAUGCCAAAAUUAUAUUUAAGAUAUUUUAUAGGAUUUUUGCACUAGUAUUGAGGAAUCUUGUCCUCGGUAGUAUAUGGUAUUGCACGAGCUAGUGAAUAUUUUGAUAUGUAUUACCAUAGAUUGGUAAAACUUCGAUUUGAAAAGACGAAAAAAAAAUUUCGUAAAAAAUAAUCAUGUUAUUUUUGUUCAUAUCAAAAUAUUGUUUAUGUUAAUUUCACAUGAAAUUGAUGCUAUAUUCUAAUGGCCAAUCUAACUGUUGUGUAAACAAAUGCAAUAUUCAUGUAUAAAGAUUUAUUGUAAAUAUCAUACUGAGGUUCGAUUCACCAAAAAAUCUUACGAAUAAAAAUACUUGUAAGUCAUUGACAUUUUAGUAUAACUUAUGAUCAAUUGUAAUCGUAAGAAUGUUGGUUAAAUGAGUCGCAGGACUUUUGUUAUUAUACAUUGUUUUUAGUUAUGAUUUGUGUAUUUCCCACCUAACCUAUUAUAUGCACAUGUAUGUAGAAAUGUAGUAGUACAUUUCAAACAGUAAACGUGUGUUUUUUUUUCCUUUCUGCAGAUUCAUUAUAGAUUCGAAUUUUGGUGGAUUGAGAAAAAAAAGUAUAAUUAUUGAUAAUGGAUUUCCAUGAGAAAAAAAAGUAUAAUUAUUGAUAAUG